UCUUCCACUGAGCCACAGACAUGUCAUCCUUACCCUGCAGAGGACAAACACCCAGAGGUGGAAACAGCUGGCAGCGCCUUUUAACAUCAGAAAAAGCAGCGUUGGAGCGAAGAGUUAAGAUGUUUCAUUAAGACUGGGGCUGGAAAACGCAUCACACUCCUGAUUUCGCUGCAGCCGGCCCAGGAAACCGGACCAGGAAACCGGACCAGGAAACCGGACCAGGAAACCGGACCAGGAAACCGGACCAGGAAACCGGACCAGGAAACCGGACCAGUGAUUUUAUUUUCAGCAGUGAAAGGAAAUAAAUGAGGUCCAGCACUUUUCACUUGGCGCCCCCUUCAGGUUCCUGUUCUCCUCCUCUGGUUCUGGACCGAAGGUUCUGGACGUUCGGGUCUCUGCAGGGCAGAAUGAAGCAGCUUCUCGUGU